rnacentral:lncRNA from 1 species
CCAAUGCGAAGACAUUAAACAAGUUAUAUUGAACCAUUCCACAUCCAUAUAACAUUUUAUAUCGAAUUCUAACAACGAAGCCUACAAUACAUAAUCCACAAUAUUAACGACCAUUCUAUCAACAUCAUUUGCACAAGGUCAUUAGCAAUAAUAAGGUGAAAAUUCAAAGUCUUUAUCUCAAUUUAGCUAUUGAUAGUUUUUUAAAUCUUAUAAAUCAUUACCUUUUACACUUAGGGAAACAAAUUAAAUCAUUAUACCAUCCUCUAUUUACAAAUUGUUCAAUUGGUGCUUUCUUCUAGAAUAAGCUAGAUACAAUUUACAGGUGAUGGUCUUCAAGCUAUAUUAAAUUUUCAACUAGGAAAGAGAACAUUGAAAAUGUGGGAUCCUUCCUGACCUUAUCCAAAUCCAACUUACCUAUAAAUAAAAGUCAAAUAUAAAACAAGGCAUGUCGCUACUUUUUAUAUCAAACAAAGAAUUUAGAAUUCAAAUCAAACUCUUGGCCAUUAAAAUAGACAAACUUUAGCACCUUGUUUUUCAAAUGGGUAGAAAAAUAGACUAAUUCUAAUGGAGCACAUUCAUGUCCAACAUAAACAAUGUUUAAAUAUUAUCUAAAAUUUUAACAAUGAUGCAAUAUAUUUUAAAAGUAUAAAUUAUUCGUGGAUUUAUUUUUAUAUUUAAAAUAAUAAUUUAAUUGAUGUAACAUUUAUCUUUUUUAUUUAUUUAUUUCAAUUAAAUCAUUAUAUAAAUAAUAAAUUUUAAACACACAUUCUAAAUUAGGAUAAAUAACUAAAAUUAUGUUCCAUUAAAAUAAAUAAUUAUAUAGUAGGAUGAAAAUUUUGGAGUGGUGCGCACGUGGGUUUUGAACCAGAAAACUCUUGGACCGUAUUUUAAGGAACACCAUGUUUUGACUAUGGACUUCAACAAAGAUUUUCAACGCCAAAGAAUGAUCAUAGUGUCAAAAGGCUUUUGGUUUUUGAAAAAUGAAAAAUUAGAACUGUAAAAUAAGCGUGAGAUGGAAGAGACGUGUUCGAGGAAGAGAAUACAUGACAUCGUGGCGUAUAAAUUCAAACUCCAACACAAAGCCAUGUGUUGUAUACGUGGAAUGGGACCCAACAUGUACAAUGGUGGCUAAUCACAUCUUCAUGAGUCAAAUAUUGAUCAAAUAAUCGAGGUUCAAUGUCAAAACCUAAACCUUUUUCAAACUCAAACAUCAAUAUGUUUCCAACACUAGACUGUAGUAGCAACUAACUAGCUAGUGGACAUGUAUGGUGGAUGUUUCUUAUGUCAUGUAUGUAUGUAUGCUAUGUCAUAGACAAAUUAUGAAUCAUGAUCCAUGAAAUACCCGACAAGAUUUUUUAUGCAUAUCAUGUCACGGCUGAGUCAGACAUUGAAAUCACACCCUCUACUCUCAACGGCAAGGGUCCCCGAAUUUCUAUUUUGUUUUAUUGACAAGAAAUAAUGUUGGCAACAUCUCCUUUUCAGUUAAUGUCAUUAUUGUAUUUUUUUUUUUUAUCAACAAGAUUAAACUUUUUUACCUUAUAAAAAAAUCAGAUAUUUUUAUAUUAAGAAAACUUCUUUUCACCCAAAAUAUUAUUUUAGAGUAUCAUCAUGGAUGUCGUCAAUAUCUGUUUUUGUCACCUUAAACAUGAAUAUUCCACACAUGUGCACCAGCUAUUAUUAACACCCAAAACUUAUCGUCAUUUAGUUUACAUUGAGUGGUAGAUUCUAAAGUGGCAAAAAGAAAUUGAAUUGAUUUAUUUAAGAUGUUUAAUUUUGAUAAAAUUUGAGUUGAAGGUUGGAUUAUAUUUAUUUAAAAAUAGAUUAAAUAAUAAAUUUUGGUUAAACUUUUUUUUUAGAAAUAAAACUUACCACUUUAAUUUUUAAGUUGAAGUUAAUUCUAAAUAUAAAAUUUAUUUAAUAUAAAAAAAUUUAUUCAAUAUGUCUAGAAGUUAAUUGAAGUAUGAUCAAUUAUCGAAGAGGAUUAGGUGAUAGAUUGUUAAUUUAUAGAAUGAGAUUCAUGAGAGAGGUUAUCUUCUAGACAUAUUUGGAGAGUCUAAAAAUUAUUGAAUACUCUAUCUAAAAUCAAAUCAAAUAUAAGUAAAAUUAACUUUUAUAUUUUAAAAUGACAUGUAAACAUACAUAUUUCGGAUUUUAUUUAAGGUGCAUUUGAUAUUGAAUUCUCAACAUUUAAAACAGUUUUGUUGGUUUUACCCAAAAGGAAGGGGAUUGGGCAUGUAUAGGAUAAGAAAUUUUAAUUAUGUUGGAUUUUAAUUGAGUGUGCAUUAAUAUUGAAUGCUCAACAUUUAAAACACUUUUGUUUGGUUUUACCCAAAAGAAAGGGGAUUGGACAUGUAUAGGCUAAGAAAUUUUAAUUAUGUUUUGUUAGGAAAAUGGGGCUGUCGGUUGAAAACUGAGGAACAUAUUAUUUGAUUUAAAAUGUGGGUUAACAAAGCAUGGUUUUGAGGUGUUUAGUGUUGUGAGUAGAACUAAUUUAAUGGUGAGUUGGUGGAAGAAUUUAUGCUUUGUUCGUGACGGGUUGGGUAGCGAAAGGAAAAAUUGGUUUAGUAAAUAUUUGGUACGUGUGAUGCGUCAUGAUAGAGACAGUAGAGACAUUUCAUUUUGGUUUAAUUAAAAAUAAUAAUAAUAAUAAUAAUAAUAAUAAUAAUAAUAAUAAUAAUAAUAAUAAUAAUAAUAAUAAUAAUAAUAAUAAUAAUAAUAAUAAGACAUUUCAUUUUGGCAUGACAAUUGGAUAGAGGGGUGCUUUUGUUGAGAGCUUCAUGCGUUUUGUAUGUGUUGGUAGUAGACAAAAAAUAACUCGUUGGCAAAUAAGUUUAGGUUUGGGUUGUGAGGAGGAAGCUUGGAGAUGAAAGAAAACUUUUUUUAUUUGGGAGGAAAAACUCUCCGUGGAGUGUAUUUCUUUGAUGAAAUUAGUGGUUUUGCAAGAAAUAUGAUGGACAAGUGGAUUUGGCAACAUGAUCAAGGAGAUGAAUAUUAUGCCAAGCCUCUUACAAUCAAAAUUGUUGCAUGAUCCAAGUUUAGAAGUAAAUUCUCUUUGUGAUAUUAUUUGGAAUAAAUUGGUAUACCUCUCAAGUAUCUUUAUAUGUGUGUAGAUUCAUGAAACAAAUUGGCUACUAAAGAUAGUCUAGCUAUACAUGGCUUGUUGGUGGAACAAGAAAUUAUAUGCUUAGGAUGUGCAAAAUAUGAAUGGUUACAACAUCAACUUUUAAUUUCUUUUUUUAAAUGUAAUACAUUUGGUCAAGUAUAUCGGUUGAAAUUUUAGUUUAGUCGGGUGUUUAAAGUGCAUUAUCCAAUUGUGAACAAAUCAUAUUCUUUAAUUUGAAAAAAAUUCUCUUGAAGAAAAUGUUAGAUGACGUAUAUUUGGAUCGUUUGAAAUGUGCGCAAUGAUUGUAUGUUUAAUGAAAACUUCUGCAGUACUACGAAGAAAAAAGAGUGUAUCGGUACUAUCAAAAUUUUAACCAAUACUUAAGUUAGUUUAUCAUUAACUCAUCCACAUCAGUAUUUAUAUAUUGUAUAUUAAAUAUUGACUAAAUCAAUAGUAUUGGUUGAUCAAGUCAUGUCAUCAUUUUUUUUAUGUUUGUCAAUUGGUAGUAUGUGGAUUGUUAAUUAGGGUGUUAGAGUUUGUUUAUUCGAUCA